GCGGCCGUAGCUCAAUGGCAGAGCUGAAGCCUUCCAAGCUUAAGACAGGGGUUCGAUUCCCCUUGGCCGCUCCA
rnacentral:tRNA from 2 species